UUACGGCCAUAUCACGUUGAAACACCGGUUCCCGCACGAUCUCCCGAAUUUAAGCAACGUCGAGUCUGGUCAGUACCUAAAUGGGUGACAGCUUAGGAAUACCGGAUUCUGUAA